rnacentral:rRNA from 1 species
UACGAAGGGGGCUAGCGUUAAUCGGAAUUACUGGGCGUAAAGCGUGCGUAGACGGUUAUUUAAGUCGGGCGUGAAAGCCCCGGGCUUAACCUGGGAACUGCGUUUGAUACGGCAGGGCUAGAGUUCGGGAGAGGAGAGUGGAAUUCCCAGGUGUAGAGGUGAAAUUCGUAGAUAUUGGGAAGAACACCGGUGGCGAAGGCGGCUCUCUGGACCGAUACUGACGCUGAGGCGCGAAAGCGUGGGGAGCAAACAGG